GUCAGUGUGGCAUUGUGGUUUUAGUACUGGCCUGUGACUCUGGAGAUCAGGGUUCAAAUCCCCACUCAGCCA